AAUGAAAUGCCUGAAUAAAGGAUUAUUUUGAUAGAAUAAAUCAUGCAUGUAUAAUGCUUUCAUUA
rnacentral:tRNA from 2 species